rnacentral:rRNA from 1 species
GACGAACGCUGGCGGCGUGCUUAACACAUGCAAGUCGAACGGAAAGGCCCUGCUUUUGUGGGGUGCUCGAGUGGCGAACGGGUGAGUAACACGUGAGUAACCUGCCCUUGACUUUGGGAUAACUUCAGGAAACUGGGGCUAAUACCGGAUAGGAGCUCCUGCUGCAUGGUGGGGGUUGGAAAGUUUCGGCGGUUGGGGAUGGACUCGCGGCUUAUCAGCUUGUUGGUGGGGUAGUGGCUUACCAAGGCUUUGACGGGUAGCCGGCCUGAGAGGGUGACCGGCCACAUUGGGACUGAGAUACGGCGCAGACUCCUACGGGAGGCAGCAGUGGGGAAUAUUGCACAAUGGGCGGAAGCCUGAUGCAGCAACGCCGCGUGCGGGAUGACGGCCUUCGGGUUGUAAACCGCUUUCGCCUGUGACGAAGCGUGAGUGACGGUAAUGGGUAAAGAAGCACCGGCUAACUAC